rnacentral:rRNA from 1 species
AUUCCAGCUCCAAUAGUGUAUAUUAAAGUUGUUGCAGUUAAAAAGCUCGUAGUUGGAUUUCUGGGAAGGACGACCGGUCCACCCACUGGGUGAGAACAUGGUUCGGCUUGACCAUUUUCUUGGAGAACGCUGCUGCGCUUCAAUGUGUGGGGUGGUAUCCAAGACUUUUACUUUGAGGAAAUUAGAGUGUUUCAAGCAGGCGCACGCCCUGAACACAUUAGCAUGGAAUAAUGAGAUAAGACCUUGGCUCUAUUUUGUUGGUUUCUAGAGCUGAGGUAAUGAUUAAUAGGGAUAGUCGGGGGCAUUCGUAUUUAACUGUCAGAGGUGAAAUUCUUGGAUUUAUGGAAGACGAACUACUGCGAAAGCAUUUACCAAGGAUGUUUUCAUCA